AUUGAACGCUGGCGGAAUGCUUUACACAUGCAAGUCGAACGGCAGCACGGGGGCAACCCUGGUGGCGAGUGGCGAACGGGUGAGUAAUACAUCGGAACGUGCCCAGUCGUGGGGGAUAACGUAGCGAAAGUUACGCUAAUACCGCAUACGAUCUACGGAUGAAAGCGGGGGACCGUAAGGCCUCGCGCGAUUGGAGCGGCCGAUGUCAGAUUAGGUAGUUGGUGAGGUAAAGGCUCACCGAGCCGACGAUCUGUAGCUGGUCUGAGAGGACGACCAGCCACACUGGGACUGGGACACGGCCCAGACUCCUACGGGAGGCAGCAGUGGGGAAUUUUGGACAAUGGGCGCAAGCCUGAUUCAGCCAUUCCGCGUGCAGGACGAAGGCCUUCGGGUUGUAAACUGCUUUUGUACGGAACGAAAAGGCUCUGGUUAAUACCUGGGGCUCAUGACGGUACCGUAAGAAUAAGCACCGGCUAACUACGUGCCAGCAGCCGCGGUAA
rnacentral:rRNA from 1 species